CGAGCGGUAGCACAGGUGAGCUUGCUCCCUGGGUGACGAGCGGCGGACGGGUGAGUAAUGUCUGGGAAACUGCCUGAUGGAGGGGGAUAACUACUGGAAACGGUAGCUAAUACCGCAUAACGUCGCAAGACCAAAGAGGGGGACCUUCGGGCCUCUUGCCAUCAGAUGUGCCCAGAUGGGAUUAGCUAGUAGGUGGGGUAACGGCUCACCUAGGCGACGAUCCCUAGCUGGUCUGAGAGGAUGACCAGCCACACUGGAACUGAGACACGGUCCAGACUCCUACGGGAGGCAGCAGUGGGGAAUAUUGCACAAUGGGCGCAAGCCUGAUGCAGCCAUGCCGCGUGUGUGAAGAAGGCCUUCGGGUUGUAAAGCACUUUCAGCGAGGAGGAAGGUGGUGAGCUUAAUACGCUCAUCGAUUGACGUUACUCGCAGAAGAAGCACCGGCUAACUCCGUGCCAGCAGCCGCGGUAAUACGGAGGGUGCAAGCGUUAAUCGGAAUUACUGGGCGUAAAGCGCACGCAGGCGGUUUGUUAAGUCAGAUGUGAAAUCCCCGGCUCAACCUGGGAACUGCAUUUGAAACUGGCAAGCUAGAGUCUCGUAGAGGGGGGUAGAAUUCCAGGUGUAGCGGUGAAAUGCGUAGAGAUCUGGAGGAAUACCGGUGGCGAAGGCGGCCCCCUGGACGAGGACUGACGCUCAGGUGCGAAAG
rnacentral:rRNA from 1 species